UCCGAUAUGGUGUAGUGGCUAACAUUAUCGCCUCUCAUGCUCUGACUUUCUGUAAAUUGAGCGCGAUAGCCCGGGGUUCAAUUCCCCGUGUCGGAA